ensembl:miRNA MIR23B microRNA 23b
UUGGGUUCCUGGCAUGCUGAUUUGUGACUUAAGAUUAAAAUCACAUUGCCAGGGAUUACCAC